rnacentral:rRNA from 1 species
CUACACGAAGAACCUUACAGGGUUUGACAUGCAAGUGGUAGGAAUCCGAAAGGUGACCGACCCUUCGGGGAGCUUGGCACAGGUGCUGCAUGGCUGUCGUCAGCUCGUGUCGUGAGAUGUUCGGUUAAGUCCGCUAACGAGCGCAACCCUCGUCGUGUGUUAUACGUGUCACACGAUACUGCCGGUAUCAAGCCGGAGGAAGGUGGGAUGAUGUCAAGUCAGCAUGGCCUUUAUAUCCUGGGCUACACACACGCUACAAUGGCAGAUACAAUAGGUUGCGAAACCGCGAGGUGGAGCCAAUCCUCAAAGUCUGUCUCAGUUCAGAUUGUAGGCUGCAACUCGCCUGCAUGAAGUUGGAGUUGCUAGUAAACGCAGGUCAGCUAUACUGCGUUGAAUACGUUCCCGGGGUUU